GUUUAUGACUUCUUGCAGCAUGCAUUGUUGUACAGGGAUGUUAGCGUUUUCAUAAAUGCAAUGCAUGGUGCCUGAAGAAUAUAGCGGCCCACUUUAAAAUUUAUAACUUCAUGAUUUCAGUAUCUGGGACAGACUUUACUGUAUACGGUUUGUUUCUGGAAAGCUUCAACCUAUCUUGCAAUUCUUCAAGGCCAAUACUGAAUUUGCUGUGUACAUUUGGCUGCACAUUCUCAUCACUUAUGCUAAACAACAACAGGCUUGAGUGAUGUGUGGAAUUCUUGUCAAUCAAUUUUAUUGAUUACCUCGGACGAUCUAUUCUACUUCCCACAGUUAUUGGGUGCUUUGUGUGCAUGUGCUAUGCAUGCUGGAAAUGAAAACAGGGAAUGCAGCUGGCAGCAUCAACGAGUACAAUGCCCAUAGGCUAUUAUGAGGUGCGAAAUGUUGCCACUGCUAUAAUUUACAUUAUGUGUGCAUGGUACAGCUGAUUGUGUAAUUUAGCACUUUCCAGCUACUUACGCAGUUGGAGCAGAUGUCGAUCAUGUUUACUGUGGUAUGGCACGGCCACCAAGUUCGUGCAUUCUGCAUACCAGGAAACCUGACACGAAGCAACGUAUUGCUGUGAUGGCAGCUAAGUGAGAACGAAUGAGUUUGUCUUCUCUGUCCAUUUGUCAAUACCAUUACACAGGCUUGUUAAGUGCAUUCAAGCGGCUUUAGCAAUGCACUUGCAGCUACAGAGCCAGUAAAGGCAGCCAAUUUCAUCAUCAGAGUUCACUCUGCAAAUCCCACUUUCCAUAAAGGGCAUUGUUUUGUGAUAGCUUAAGGUCAAAACUUGCUCAAUUAAACACUUCUUGGUGUCUGACAUUACAUGAAUUAUGAUAAUUGUUAUAUCUCAUGUGAAAUUAUGCCAUUGUUUUUUUUUUCAUAUUCUUACUUUGCAUACACACUUUACGACUGCACCCUCCCCAACCGAAUCUUUACUAGUGCUACAUUCUGUUAUGGGUGAAAACAAUUAUUGAACUAAAAACCAGGCCAAGGAAAGCAGUAUGAUGCCCUGUAAUGUAGGAGGAUGCCGCUAUUGCAGUGUUUAGUCUAGAGCUGAAUUUAAUGAGAAAGGGCAGCAAUGUAGGUCAUCUGUCGAUAUUUGCAGACCAUAAUUGUGUUGUGGUCAUUUUGUUAUCGCAGGAAGCAUCUUCAAAAAGCAGUGCUACAAGGAUGUGAGCAGCAGUUUCCCUUCAACGAACGGGUCAAAUUCAUGGAAGCCACGUGCCUGCUGCUUCUGGCCUACACAAACAUGCAGCCACCAUAGUAAAGUUCUUGCAAAGACAUUCUACACGAACUUGCCCAAAGGCGGAAGGAAGGCACGCACAGAUGGACGCACAGAAAUCAUGGGGCUGCCGUAGAAGCUGUGAAUGAGCAUUAACCUACGUACAGAAAGGAGCGAAGUGGAGCUGUCCAUGGGCCGUGCACACAGUUUCAUAAGCAAGCUUGCAACACUUUUGACAAAUAUGUUCCUGAAUACAUCUGCCAAAGUGGCAUUUAAAGAAGCAUGUAGUAGUGUACUUCACUGUUUAUUUGGCAUGAAGCAGCAGGUAUGCUUCCGUCAUCAGCAAGUUCACACAGUACAGUGCAUCUACACAUGGCAUGCUACCCCCACAUCUACCAGCUCGGGAUGUGUAGCUUGAUUGUAAAAUGUUUACUUUGACUUAACACAACAAUUAUUAACAAAAUGACAUGAAAGUUUUGCCACCUAUGCAGGCGACAUUCUCAGUAUACGCUGCCAAAUAUAAGCGGAGUUUGACCAGUCCAUUAGUCGCACAUUUCCUUGUAAACAUCUCGUAGAGGGCCGCUGUUGUUGUUGCAAGCCAAUGCGCCGUGAUGAAUGAACCAUGAUUCCAAGAUUUUUCUUUUCCUCCGACCUUUGUACACGAGGUAGCAUCGUCGAAUUGAUUAGGUCAAAGUUAUGCCUUGUCAUUCAGCAGCGUUCAACAAGCUCCGUUUUAGAACAUGUUGCAUGGGUGGUUUUCGCAACAUCCUCUUUGUGUUCUUUAACCUUCGAUUACCUUCUUCAACCCAUUUCGCCUAUGCAAGUUGUGUCGCAAUCCCCACAUUGUACUUCGUAGAUGAUCCCGCUCUAAUCUUCGGCGGUGUUUGUGUAUACCUUGUCCUUAGGACAUGUGUUCACAAAGCCCAAAGACCGCACACCUGCGGAUGAUUAGAGCAGGGUACUCUACAGAGUACGUUGUGGGGUUCACGACACCACUUACAUCGGCGAAUUGGGCAGGAAAAUGCCAAAGACGUUCAAAGAACACAAAGUGGGAAUGUUGCUAAAGCCACCCAUGGAGCGCAUUUUAAGACAGCUUGUUGAAUACUGCUAGACGACAGGUUAUAGCUUCGACCUUAACAAUGCGACGAUGCUGGCUCAGGAACGAAGGUGGAGGAAAACUAUUGGAAUUAUGGUUCAUGCGUCAUGAAGCAUCUGCUUGAAACAACAACCACAGACCCAUACCGAACGUGUACGUGGACGUAUGUGGCUAGUGGACUGGUCGACCUCCGCUCACUUGUUGCCAGCGUAUACUGAGACUGCCACCUGCAUAGGUGGCAAAGC